UACGGGGGGGGGUAAGCGUUGUUCGGAAUUACUGGGCGUAAAGGGCUCGUAGGCGGCCAACUGAGUCGGACGUGAAAUCCCUCAGCUUAACUGGGGAACUGCGUCCGAUACUGGAUGGCUUGGAUUUGGGAGAGGGAUGCGGAAUUCCAGGUGUAGCGGUGAAAUGCGUAGAUAUCUGGAGGAACACCGGUGGCGAAGGCGGCAUCCUGGACCGGUAUUGACGCUGAGGCGCGAAAGCUAGGGGAGCAAACGGG
rnacentral:rRNA from 1 species